AACGAACGCUGGCGGCAUGCCUAACACAUGCAAGUCGAACGAGACCUUCGGGUCUAGUGGCGCACGGGUGCGUAACGCGUGGGAACCUGCCCUUAGGUUCGGAAUAACUCCUCGAAAGGGGUGCUAAUACCGGAUAAUGUCUUCGGCCCAAAGAUUUAUCGCCUUUGGAUGGGCCCGCGUUGGAUUAGCUAGUUGGUAGGGUAAAAGCCUACCAAGGCGACGAUCCAUAGCUGGUCUGAGAGGAUGAUCAGCCACACUGGGACUGAGACACGGUCCAGACUCCUACGGGAGGCAGCAGUGGGGAAUAUUGGACAAUGGGCGAAAGCCUGAUCCAGCAAUGCCGCGUGAGUGAUGAAGGCCUUAGGGUUGUAAAGCUCUUUUACCCGGGAUGAUAAUGACAGUACCGGGAGAAUAAGCUCCGGCUAACUCCGUG
rnacentral:rRNA from 1 species